AUGGCAGCCCCGAGGACGAUGAGAGUCAUGCAGUACGACAAGUAUGGUGGUGGAGCUGAAGGCCUCAAGUAUGUGGAGGUGCCGGUGCCGUCGUCGAGGAAAGGCGAGGUGCUGUUGAAGAUGGAGGCGGCCAACAUCAACCCCAUUGACUGGAAGAUCCAGAAGGGCAUGCUCCGCCCCUUCCUCCCCGACAAGUUGCCCUUCACGCCAGGACGCGCCAGCCACAGGACGCUCCACCACCUCACCGGCCAGAUCGCCCACUGCAUGAUUCGCCAUGCCAAGAAAUCUUGCAGGAGCUUACAACAUACAUGUGAAAUUUUGAUGUAG
rnacentral:rRNA from 1 species